AGAAGGCUUCAUCUUCUCAGUUAAGGUCGCUUCAACUUCCUCCUUCGUCACUCCCAUCUCUUCCUCCCUCUCUCUCUCUCUCUCUCUCUCUCUCAAAUCCUAGCAUAGGUUAUAAGCGAGUUUUUGGUUAAGAUAAGUGGGGCCCAUGGUUCGUUAAUCAGGACCGUUGGUUUGUUCCAAAUACUUUUCAUUAGAUCUACCCCGUCCAUCAGAUGUUCUGCUUCAUUUUAACCAUUGAACCCAAAAAUCACGAUAAUUCAAAAAAAAAUACAA